UAGUCCACGCCGUAAACGAUGAUAACUGGUUGUUUGUUCGAAUGAGAGCAAGUGACUGAGCGAAAGUAUUAAGUUAUCCACCUGGGGAGUACGUUCGCAAGAAUGAAACUCAAAGGAAUUGACGGGGGCCCGCACAAGCGGAGGAACAUGUGGUUUAAUUCGAUGAUACGCGAGGAACCUUACCUGGACUUAAAUGUAGAUUGCAUAGAUUGGAGACAGUCUUUUCUUCGGACUAUUUACAAGGUGCUGCAUGGUUGUCGUCAGCUCGUGCCGUGAGGUGUCGGGUUAAGUCCCAUAACGAGCGCAACCCCUACCGUUAGUUGCUAACAGGUCAAGCUGAGGACUCUAACGGGACUGCCGGUGCAAACCGCGAGGAAGGUGGGGAUGACGUCAAAUCAGCACGGGCCCUUACGUCCAGGGGCUACACACGUGUUACAAUGGCCGGUACAGAGGGGCAGCUACCUAGCAAUAGGAUGCGAAUCUCGAAAGCCGGGUCUCAGUUCGGGAUUGGGAGUCUGCAAC
rnacentral:rRNA from 1 species